UACGUAGGGGGCUAGCGUUGUCCGGAAUCAUUGGGCGUAAAGCGCGCGUAGGCGGUCAGGAAAGUCCGGUGUGAAAGUCAUAGGCUCAACCUAUGGAUGCCGCUGGAAACUGCCUGACUUGAGUCCGGAAGGGGCGAGUGGAAUUCCUGGUGUAGCGGUGAAAUGCGCAGAUAUCAGGAGGAACACCGAUUGCGAAGGCAGCUCGCUGGGACGUUACUGACGCUGAGACGCGAAAGCGUGGGGAGCAAACAGG
rnacentral:rRNA from 1 species